UCUACAAUUUACACGUUCUGCUACACAGUCAAUUGCUGUACAGGGACCUAAUGCUGUCUUUAUCAGCAAGGCCAGAUAUUUAAUCCUGCUGGUCAAACUAACAACUGCUCCCCAUUUAUCCAUCUCAGCGUGCGGUGAGAGCGACGCGCAAAUUUAAAUAUUUAUGCCUGUGCUGGAGGUCUGCUCAACAUCGCUGACUGCGUCCCUCACUGAAAGAAUGAAGAGGACAGUCAAGCUGUGGGUGGCUUUAGUCCUGCUGAGGUCAGUAAAUGGGAUAAAUCAAGACCUGAGAAAUAUUAAAUUUAGCGAAGGAAUCCAGCUCUUUGUUGACGAGGGCUCCAGCUCUCCUCCUACGGUCGUUGUGCUUCAGCCUUUGCUGCCUGACCAGAGGAGUUCAGGCCCUGUAGUCCUGGUGUGUCUGGUACGAGGCUUACCUGACAGUCAGGUGAGACUCCACUGGACGGUGAACGAAGAGAAAAUCAAUGAUGGAGACGCUACAUCUGAAGCAUCUGUAGACACUGACGGCUCAUAUUCUGCUACAGGAUUUCUCCUAAUUCCUGUGACACACUGGCACCCAAACAACAUAUACAGAUGUAUAGUAAACCAUGGUAGCCAUGUUUAUGAAGGCAGCAGACAGGCCUCUAGCUGCUACUACGUUAAAUAAACAGUAAUAAGAGUCUGGCAGUGACUACAUUGUCUAUUCCAGCAUGGUGAUAAGCCUGGCUUGGAGUUACGUUUGAACGCCAGUGUAUCGUACAUUGCUGAAUUGCUUGCAAAAAUGCCCUCUAAUGGACAUUACUGUUAUUACGUUAAACCACCUAAAGAAGACCGGUAAGGAUUCCAAGAAAACAACUCGACUGGGGAGAAAUAAAAUAUAUACUCACUGUUUUC